rnacentral:rRNA from 1 species
GACGAACGCUGGCGGCGUGCCUAAUACAUGCAAGUAGAACGCAGUUGCGAACGGGUGAGUAACGCGUAGGUAACUGCCUCAUAGCGGGGGAUAACUAUUGGAAACGAUAGCUAAUACCGCAUACUGUGAGAUGGACCUGCGUUGUAUUAGCUAGUUGGUGAGGUAAAGGCUCACCAAGGCGACGAUACAUAGCCGACCUGAGAGGGUGUUGGGCCACACGGGACUUGAGACACGGCCCGGCGUCCGCCGGUAGGAGCAAGAGGGAAAUUUUGGGCAAGGGACGAAAGCUGAACCGGCCAACGCGGCUGAGUGGAAGAGGGUUUUCGGACCGUAAGCUCUGUUGUUAGAGAAGCGGUAACUAACCAGAAAGGGACGGCUAACUACGUGCCAGCAGCCGCGGUAAUUC